GCAGGGAGUGGUGGCCCACACCUGUCAUCCCAGCAGCUCAGGAGGCUGAGGCAGGAGGAUCACGAGUUCAAAGGCAGCCUCAGCAAGGAUGAAGCCCUAAGCAGCUCAGUGAGCCCCUGUCUCUA
rnacentral:sRNA from 1 species